AGAGUUUGAUCCUGGCUCAGGAUGAACGCUGGCGGCGUGCUUAACACAUGCAAGUCGAACGAGCUUAGUUGCGCAGAGGCCUUCGGGCCGAAGCGCGACAGUAGCGAGUGGCGGACGGGUGAGUAACGCGUGGGUAACCUACCUCAUGCAGGGGGACAACAGUUGGAAACGGCUGCUAAUACCGCAUAAGCGCACAGCUUCGCAUGAAGCAGUGUGAAAAGCCUUAACGGCAUGAGAUGGACCCGCGUCCGAUUAGCUAGUUGGUGAGGUAACGGCCCACCAAGGCGACGAUCAGUAGCCGACCUGAGAGGGUGACCGGCCACAUUGGGACUGAGACACGGCCCGAACUCCUACGGGAGGCAGCAGUGGGGAAUAUUGGACAAUGGGCGAAAGCCUGAUCCAGCGACGCCGCGUGAACGAUGAAGUAUUUCGGUAUGUAAAGUUCUAUCAGCAGGGAAGAUAAUGACGGUACCUGACUAAGAAGCACCGGCUAAAUACGUGCCAGCAGCCGCGGUAAUACGUAUGGUGCAAGCGUUAUCCGGAUUUACUGGGUGUAAAGGGAGCGUAGGCGGCUUUGCAAGUCUGAUGUGAAAGCCCGGGGCUCAACUCCGGUAUUGCAUUGGAAACUGUAGAGCUAGAGUGUCGGAGGGGUAAGUGGAAUUCCUAGUGUAGCGGUGAAAUGCGUAGAUAUUAGGAGGAACACCAGUGGCGAAGGCGGCUUACUGGACGAUUACUGACGCUGAGGCUCGAAAGCGUGGGGAGCAAACAGGAUUAGAUACCCUGGUAGUCCACGCUGUAAACGAUGAUACUUGGGGUCGGGGCCCACGGGGAUUCG
rnacentral:rRNA from 1 species